rnacentral:misc_RNA from 1 species
GAUGAAGAACGCAGCGAAAUGCGAUAAGUAGUGUGAAUUGCAGAAUUCAGUGAAUCAUCGAAUCUUUGAACGCACAUUGCGCCCCUCGGUAUUCCGUGGGGCAUGCCUGUUCGAGCGUCAUUUACCCCUCAAGCACUGCUUGGUGUUGGGCGUCUGUCCCGCUUCGCGCGCGGACUCGCCCCAAAGGUAUUGGCAGCGGUCGUGCCAGCUUCUCGCGCAGCACAUUGCGCUUCUCGAGGCGGUCGAUCGGCGUCCACGGAGCUCACCUCCACCGUUUGACCUCGGAUCAGGUAGGGAUACCCGCUGAACUUAAGCAUAUCAAUAAGCGGAGGA